AUUGAACGCUGGCGGCAGGCCCAACACAUGCAUGUCGAGCGAGCGGCGGACGGAUGAGUAAUGUCUGGGAAACUGCCCGAUGGAGGCGGACAACUAUUGGAAAUGGUAGCUACUACCGCAUACCAUCCGAUGUGCCCAGAUGGGAUUAGCUAGUAUGUGGGGUAACGGCUCACCUUGGCGACGAACCCUAGCUGGUCUGAGAGGCUGAUCAGCGGGACUGGAAUGGAGAGACGUUCCAGACUCGUACGGGAGGCCGCAGUGGGGAAGAUUGUACAAUGGGCGCAAGCCUGAUGCAGCAAUGUAGGGUGUGGGAAGAGGGCGUUCAGGUUUAAGAGCACUUUCAGCGGGGAGGCGUGACCCGCAGAAGAAGCACCGGCUAACUCCGUGCCAGCAGCCGCGGUAAUUC
rnacentral:rRNA from 1 species